AUUGCCCUAGUAACGGCGAGUGAAGCGGCAACAGCUCAAAUUUGAAAUCUGGCUCUUUUAGAGUCCGAGUUGUAAUUUGCAGAGGGCGCUUUGGCGUUGGCAGCGGUCCAAGUUCUUUGGAACAGGACGUCACAGAGGGUGAGAAUCCCGUACGUGGUCGCUAGCCUUCGCCGUGUAAAGCCCCUUCGACGAGUCGAGUUGUUUGGGAAUGCAGCUCUAAAUGGGAGGUAAAUUUCUUCUAAAGCUAAAUACUGGCCAGAGACCGAUAGCGCACAAGUAGAGUGAUCGAAAGAUGAAAAGCACUUUGGAAAGAGAGUCAAAUAGCACGUGAAAUUGUUGAAAGGGAAGCGCUUGCAGCCAGACUUGCCUGUAGUUGCUUAUCUGGACUUUUGUCCAGUGCACUCUUCUGCGGGCAGGCCAGCAUCAGUUUGGGCGGUUGGAUAAAGGUCUCUGUCAUGUACCUCCUUUCGGGGAGGCCUUAUAGGGGAGACGACAUGCAACCAGCCUGGACUGAGGUCCGCGCAUCUGCUAGGAUGCUGGCGUAAUGGCUGUAAGCGGCCCGUCUUGAAACACGGACCAAGGAGUCUAACAUCUAUGCGAGUGUUUGGGUGUCAAGCCCAGACGCGUAAUGAAAGUGAACGGAGGUGGGAACCUUUUAGGUGCACCAUCGACCGAUCCUGAUGUCUUCGGAAGGAUUUGAGUAAGAGCAUAGCUGUUGGGACCCGAAAGAUGGUGAACUAUGCUUGAAUAGGGUGAAGCCAGAGGAAACUCUGGUGGAGGCUCGCAGCGGUUCUGACGUGCAAAUCGAUCGUCAAAUUUGGGCAUAGGGGCGAAAGACUAAUCG
rnacentral:rRNA from 1 species